CCCUUAGAUGUUCUGGGCCGCACGCGCGCUACACUGAUGCAUUCAACGAGUUUUUCCUGGUCCGAGAGGAAUGGGUAACCUUUUGAAAGUGCAUCGUGCUAGGGAUAGACUAUUGCAAUUAUUGGUCUUCAACGAGGAAUUCCUAGUAAACGCAAGUCAUCAACUUGCAUUGAUUACGUCCCUGCCCUUUGUACACACCGCCCGUCGCACCUACCGAUUGAAUGGUCCGGUGAAGCCUCCGGAUUGGCGCGCACCUCGGUGCCGCCGAGAAGUUGGCUAAACCUUACCAUUUAGAGGAAGGUGAAGUCGUAACA
rnacentral:rRNA from 1 species